rnacentral:misc_RNA from 1 species
UACGUAGGUGGCAGGCGUUUCCCGGAAUUAUUGGGCGGAAAGCGCGCGCAGCCGGCCGCUUAAGUCUGAUGUGGAAGCCCCCGGCUCAACCGGGGAGGGCCAUUGGAAACUGGGAGGCUUGAGCAUAGGAGAGAAGAGUGGAAUUCCACGUGUAGCGGUGAAAUGCGUAGAGAUGUGGAGGAACACCAGUGGCGAAGGCGACUCUUUGGCCUAUAACUGACGCUGAGGCGCGAAAGCGUGGGGAGCAAACAGG